UGAGGAAUAUUGCACAAUGGGGGAAACCCUGAUGCAGCAACGCCGCGUGGAUGAUGAAGGCCUUCGGGUUGUAAAAUCCUUUUCUGGGGAACGAUGAUGACGGUACCCCAGGAAUAAGUCCCGGCUAACUACGUGCCAGCAGCCGCGGUAAAACGUAGGGGGCGAGCGUUAUCCGGAUUUACUGGGCGUAAAGCGCACGUAGGCGGCAUCGUAAGUUGGGCGUUAAAGCUCCUGGCUUAACUGGGAGAGGUCGUUCAAUACUGCGGUGCUUGAGGUUGAAAGAGGAGAGCGGAAUUCCCGGUGUAGUGGUGGAAUGCGUAGAUAUCGGGAGGAACACCAGUGGCGAAAGCGGCUCUCUGGUUCACACCUGACGCUGAGGUGCGAAAGCGUGGGGAGCGAACGGG
rnacentral:rRNA from 1 species